rnacentral:rRNA from 1 species
GACGAACGCUGGCGGCGUGCUUAACACAUGCAAGUCGAACGAUGAACCAGGAGCUUGCUCUUGGGAAUUAGUGGCGAACGGGUGAGUAACACGUGAGUAACCUGCCCUUGACUCUGGGAUAACCUCCGGAAACGGAAGCUAAUACCGGAUACGAACUGCGAAGGCAUCUUCAGCAGUUGGAAAGAACUUCGGUCAAGGAUGGACUCGCGGCCUAUCAGGUAGUUGGUGAGGUAACGGCUCACCAAGCCUACGACGGGUAGCCGGCCUGAGAGGGUGACCGGCCACACUGGGACUGAGACACGGCCCAGACUCCUACGGGAGGCAGCAGUGGGGAAUAUUGCACAAUGGGCGCAAGCCUGAUGCAGCAACGCCGCGUGAGGGAUGACGGCCUUCGGGUUGUAAACCUCUUUUAGUAGGGAAGAAGCGAAA